rnacentral:rRNA from 1 species
CGGGUGGGAGCGGCAGACGGGUGAGUAACGCGUGGGAACGUGCCCUUUGGUUCGGAAUAACCCAGGGAAACUUGGGCUAAUACCGGAUAAGCCCUUGGCCGUAAGGUCUUGGGGAAAGAUUUAUCGCCGAAGGAUCGGCCCGCGUCUGAUUAGCUAGUUGGUGGGGUAACGGCCCACCAAGGCGACGAUCAGUAGCUGGUCUGAGAGGAUGAUCAGCCACACUGGGACUGAGACACGGCCCAG